rnacentral:rRNA from 1 species
GACGAACGCUGGCGGCGCGCCUAACACAUGCAAGUCGAACGAGCGAGAGAGAGCUUGCUUUCUCGAGCGAGUGGCGAACGGGUGAGUAACGCGUGAGGAACCUGCCUCAAAGAGGGGGACAACAGUUGGAAACGACUGCUAAUACCGCAUAAGCCCACGGCUCGGCAUCGAGCAGGGGGAAAAGGAGCAAUCCGCUUUGAGAUGGCCUCGCGUCCGAUUAGCUAGUUGGUGAGGUAACGGCCCACCAAGGCGACGAUCGGUAGCCGGACUGAGAGGUUGACCGGCCACAUUGGGACUGAGACACGGCCCAGACUCGUACGGGAGGGAGCAGUGGGGAAUAUUGUACAAUGGGGGAAAACCUGAUGAAGCGACGCCGCGUGGAGGAAGAAGGUCUUCGGAUUGUAAACUCCUGUUGUUGGGGAAGAUAAUGACGGUAACCAGUAAGGAAGUGACGGCUAACUACGUG